AGGUGUGGAUAGGGGAGAAAUUCCAAUCGAACCCGGAGAUAGCUGGUUCUCCUCGAAAUAGCUUUAGGGCUAGCCUCAUACAAGUCUUGCGGAGGUAGAGCACUGAAUUUCCUAGGGGGCGUCAAAGCUUACCGAAGAAUAUCAAACUCCGAAUGCCGCGUAGAUGGUGUAUGGGAGUCAGACUGCACGAGAUAAGUUGGGUAGUCAAAAGGGAAAGAGCCCAGACCUGCAGCUAAGGUCCCCAAAUGUGUGUUAAGUGGAAAAGGAUGUGGGAUUUCGAAGACAACUAGGAUGUUGGCUCAGAAGCAGCCAUACAUUCAAAGAGUGCGUAAUAGCUCACUAGUCGAGAGGUCCUGCGCCGAAAAUGUCCGGGGCUGAAACACACUACCGAAGCUCAGGAAUGUACUUGUACAUUGGUAGAGGAGCAUUGUAUACGGGAAGAAGCAGUACCGAUAAGGAGCUGUGGACUGUAUAGAAGAGAGAAUGCCGGAAUGAGUAGCGAGAGGAAGGUGAGAAUCCUUCCGGCCGAAUAUCUAAGGUUUCCAGAGUAAAGCUGAUCUGCUCUGGGUAAGUCGGGGCCUAAGGCGAGGUCGAAAGACGUAGUCGAUGGAUAACAGGUUGAAAUUCCUGUACUAUGAUAUGACAGAACUGUGGGGACACGUGUGGAAAGUGGAAGCCGGGAAUGGAAAGACCGGUGCAAGCAAGGUAGGAGACGUACUGGCAAAUCCGCCAGUCAAUCUGAAGAUGUGAUGCGUACUGAAAUAUAAGUAGGGAAGUCCGUGAGCCAUGCGUCAAGAAAAGCCGCUAUUGUUCAUAUCGUACCCGUACCGUAAACCGACACAGGUGGAUGAGGAGAGAAUCCUAAGGCCGACGGGAGAAGCAUUGUUAAGGAACUCGGCAAAAUGACUCCGUAACUUCGGGAGAAGGAGUGCCACUGAGAGGUGGCCGCAGAGAAUUGGCCCAAGCAACUGUUUAGCAAAAACACAGGUCUAUGCAAAACCGAAAGGUGAAGUAUAUGGGCUGACGCCUGCCCGGUGCUGGAAGGUUAAGGGGAGAGGUUAGCGGUAAGCGAAGCUUUGAACUUAAGCCCCAGUAAACGGCGGCCGUAACAAUAACGGUCCUAAGGUAGCGAAAUUCCUUGUCG
rnacentral:rRNA from 1 species